AGCAGAGGCUGGACAAAGCACUGUCCCUCUGUGAGGACAAGUCCACCUGUGCCUGGAGGAGAUGGUGCCAGGCAGGGACACGGGAAGAGCCCCGUCUCCACCAGCCCCCUCGUCACCUGAGUCCUGCACCCACCUCCCUGCACCAUCUCAGGGGCCCCUGGUGCACCCUUCUCCCCCAGCCCAGCUGACACCUUGACUGCAGCCGCGAGAGACCCUGACCCAGAGGCACCUGGUUAAGCUGCGCCUGGAUUCCGGACCCCAGAGCCUGUGAGACGGCAGCCUGGAACAGGCCUGGGACCGCCUCCCAGCCGGCAGGGCGAUGGGCAGAGGCCCCCGGCCACUCGACCCACACCUCAGUCACCAGAGCAGCUGGGUCACGGGCCUCCCUCGGGGCUGCCUCCAGGAGAGCAGAGCCCCGCUCAUUAGGGGUGAAAUCCUGGGCACAGGCCACGCAGACCCCUCAGCGAGGCGGGGGCUGCGGGUGGUGGAGGAUGCGCUGAGCUGAUUAGCCGUGUAAUCGCAUCAUGGCCGCGCUGACGGCUGUGCUUGUCGCGUUAGCCAGCCCAGAGCACGCAGAUCCCCGCUCAGCCGCCCUGAGCUGCCCCGGAACAGCGCCAGCGUCCGAUUCUCUUGGUGCGUGGGCAGCCGUGGGCGGGGGGGGGGGGUGCCCGGCACCCAGGACGGAGGGGCAGAGGGGGAGCAAAGGGGUGUGGGGUCCCCAAUGGCCUGAUGGGGCUGGAAGGGCCUGGACGGACAAGGCAGCCCAACCCCUAGUUCCAGACGAGGACACCAGGCCCGGUGCAGGGAGGGGGGUGGGCGUGCCCACGUCCCUGAACAGUCAGGGCGGGGCCCCACCCCCCGUUGCCUGGCCCAGCGACCCCGAGGAGGAGGCCUUCCCGAAGCGGAUGCAGCCUGCAGCCUUGUGAAGCCGAGUAACUGGCACCAGCACCGCCCAGCACCGCCCAGCACCCCACAGUGCCCUGCAGGUUCCCUGAAACCCGAUCUCAGCCGCAGACCCUCAGUGGGGAACAGGUGACAAGGCCAGUCAGCCGCUGCUGCUGCCGUGUCGGGGGGUGACAGGGACAGACUCGCCAGGCUCUGACCGCCUGCCCACCGGCCCGAGGCAAGCCCAGCGCAACGUGAGGUGGGCAGGGAUGCAGUGGAGACACCCCGUCCUGCGUGUCUGCUCUGCCCCACCUGCCACUCGGCGUCUGCAAGGCCAACAGGGGCUGCAAGGGUCCAGCUCUCAAACACCCAGCCAGGCACAAAGCCCUCCGGAUCCUGGACUUGGCCCACCAGGGGCUCAGAACCUGCCCGCAGGGCACGGUGCCCGUCUGACCUCGGCCCGUGCAGAGGGUUCACUCUGGAUUCCAUGACCAGGGGCCACCAGCAGGGCUCAAGGACACAAGGGCAUGGGCAUCAUCAGUGUGCAGGUGGGAGACGCUGGACAUCUAGGUAAAGGCAUUCCACGCCUGGCACAAUGCCCCCACCCCCCACUGCCACCACGGCCACCCCACCAUGACUCCAUGGGCACCCCCCCCCCCGCCCCCGGUGUAUGCAGGGCGCUGACCAGGGUGCUGACCUGGUGGGACCAGCUUUGCUGACCCACUGACACUUGGACCUGCACCUUAUCUUGACCAACUUGGUUUGGGGCAGGGCAGCCAUCGCUCCCCAUGGGGUGGUGGGUGGGAGAUGCCACCCUGUUUCCCACCAGUUUCCAGCCAGCCUCUUCUCCUGGCCCUGGAGGACGGAGGUCCGACACAGGACCCCUGAAGAGGGAGGGAGGGGCUCCAGGAGUCCCCAGUCCUGAGGAUGGUCUGGAAGUCCUGCUCCAGGAUGUCUGCUCUGUUCCCGGUCCCCAAGCACGGCUGUGCCCAGAGAUGGGACCACGAGUGGGGGGUAGGGGGGAGGGGCGAGAAUGAAUAAAGAAAACAGAGCCGUUUUCCAGUGUUCCGUUGAUUUCCUUGUAAAGUUAGAGACAUUGUAAAGGUCGUUGCUCCUCCAGGCACCUUCCCUGUCCUUGUUCACGGGUAUUUGAGUUCCUCAGGUAGGGUACCAGUGAUGUAUACGCUCUAGCUCUUUAUUUUCCAGAGCUCCCCCGGCACGUGGAGGCUGUCUCAGUUGGGUCCUCAGCUCGUGUUCUGGUUUCCCAGCUGCCUUCCGGCCGCAAAUCCCUCUGCCCCCGUGAAGGUGCUCAUAUGCCCACCAAGGAUGUGGCCUUGGGACCUCCAGGGCGCAGCGCAAGGUCACCGCUGCCGUCUGUUUCAUUGCCACCUGCUAGUCAUCUCGCCCGUUUCGCUGGCGUGCAUGUUUUCAUUUCUGGCUUCUUUCCCAUGAAAUGACGUGAAGAUUCGUCGCGGUGGGGGUUUCUGCAGCUGGACCCCUCUUCUGGCUGCCCUUUCCUGCACCACGACGCCACAAAGUUUGUAUCCAUUUUACCAUCAAUUGAUGCUUGGUUUUCCCGAGUUGACAUAUUACACCUAAUGCCCCAUCCUUACACACGUCUUGUGGUGCACAGGUGUGUGCAUUUCCCUGAGCUGUACUCCUGGGGUGUGGAAUUUUUGAGUCUGAGCAAAUGCACAUCUCCAACUUAUCCAGAUAUUGGCAAACGGUUCUCUCCAUUGAGUGUGGCAACUCACACACCCAACUGCAGUGAUGAGAUGCUUGUGUUCUUACCUCCACUUUUACUGUCAGUCUUUUUCUCUUUUUAUCCAUUCUGGUGCCUAUGUAGUGAUAGGUCUUUGGGGUUUUAAUUAGCAUUUUCAUAAUAAAUGAUUCUGAUGAAUACUUUACCAUACGUUUAUUGGACAUUUGGAUGUCCUUUUUGGCGAAGUGUUUGUCUGAGUCUCUUGCCCUUUUUCUUGCCUUUUUUCUUAUUGUUUGUAGGAGGCUGUUUUAAAUUCUGGAUACAAGCCCUUUAUUUACUACGUUUUUCAAAUAUCCUUUCCCCUUCUGUGCUUGUCUUUAUCCUCUGUGAGUGAUGUCUUCUGAUGAACAGAGGUUCUUAAUUUUAAUGUAGUCAAAUACAUCAAUAUUUUCCCUUAGGGUUAGUGAUGAUAAAAUGUUUUCUAUCCCAACAGCAGGAAGCUUUUCUUCUACAUGAACUUCUAAAGACUUUAUCAUUUCUGCCUUUUGCACGUAGAUUUCCAUCCGACCUGGAACAGACUCGAGUGUGUGGUGGGAGGUGGGGUUCAAGUUCGUCUGUAUCCCCUUGGAUAUCUGAUCAUCCCAGCACACCACUAGUUCUCCACUGCUCUUCAGUGCUACAUUUUUCACAAGCCAAAUAUCUGUCUAUGCACGGGUCUGUUUCAUGGUUCUCUGUUUAAAUCCGCUCAUGUCUAUUGUUUCGCCAAUACCGUACUGGCUCAGUUUUAACGUCACGGCAAAUGUCAAAAUCGGUACUACGGUCCCUCUUCCUCCCCCUCCUUUUGUGUCCUGGUUAUUCUUGGUCCUUUAUAUUGUAAAAUAGAUUGUAGAAUUUCCUGGUCAUGACACACACAGAGAUGGGGGCUGGGGGUGGGGGGGUGGAGGGAGCAGAUCCAUUGGGAUUUUGGAUGGUAUUGCAUAGAAAUAUUAGAUCGAUUUGGAGAAAUUUUAAAUCGUAAAAAUAUUGAAUCUUAAAAUCCACGACCAUCAUUUUCCUGGUCUUUUUCAAAAUUAAAUUUUAAUCUAAAUUUUUAAAGAUUUCUCUCAAUAAUGUUUUAUAGACUUUUGAAUAGAAGUUUUACCCCAUUUUGUUAGGUUCAUUCCUGGGUAUUUAACACAAUCGUCCGUCCGUUUUUAUCCUCGGGGGAUUGGUUCCAGGACCGCCCCCACACCCCCACACACCCCCGCCCACUCCUUCCUCCCGUGGAUACCAGAAUCCCCAGAUGCUCAGGUGCCUUAUACAAAAUGACAAAGUACAGUCAGCUCUCCGUAUCCAGGAUUCCGCGUUUGCUGUUUCAAUCAACAAUUUUAUCAGCGGUUAGCUGGAUCCACGGACGCAGAACCCGCGGAUAAGGAGGGCUGACUGUAUUUCCUGAUGUUUUACCAAUAGUAUCUUUGUUUUAAACUUUAUUUUCUAAUUGUCGACUGAAGCAUUAUAGAAACGUAAUUGAACUGUGUAUCCUAUUUUUUUUUAAUUCAACAACCUUGCUGAACUCCCUAUUGAUUCUAAUAACUUAACUAUAAGGUAUGACAUUUACUAUGUUCUCAACAAUUUUAUCUACAAAUAAUGAAAGCUUUGCUUUGUCUCUUCCUAUCCUUACACCCUUUCUGCUUCUUCUCUGACAGGUUUGUCCAGGAACUGGGCUCAGGAGGGCACCGUUCCCUGGUUUCUAAUCGCAAAGAGAAAGACUCUCUGUCUCACCAUUAAGUAUUAUGCUUUCGUAUGUUUUACAAAAAUAUUCUUCAUUGGGCUUCCCUGGUGGCGCAGUGGUUGAGAGUCCACCUGUCGAUGCAGGGGACACAGGUUCGUCCCCCGGUCCGAGAGGAUCCCACAUGCCGCGGAGCGGCUGGGCCCGUGAGCCAUGGCCGCUGAGCCUGCGCGUCCAGAGCCUGUGCUCCGCAACGGGAGAGGCCACAACAGUGAGAGGCCCGCGUACCGGAAAAAAAAAGAAAAAAAAAAAUUCUUCCUUGUAUUAACGCGUUCUCUUUUACUUCAAGUUCACUAAUGGAUAUUUUUAUUAUAAAUUAGUGUUGAAUUUUAUCAAACAUUUUCGGUACAUCUUUUGAGAUGAUCAUAUAAUUUUUCUCCUUUAAUACCUUUUUUACGGGUAAUUAUACUGAUAGAUUUUUUUCUGUUUAACUUUGUGACCCUGAAAUAAAGGCAACCUGCACAUGACGGGUGACCUUCUGUAAAAGUUCAGUUGGCUGAUGUUUUAUUUAAAAUCAUCUGUAUUAAUACGUGGGAUUUUCCUUCCUUAUACUUUCCUGUUUGGAUCUGUGUAUUAAGGGUACACUCGCCUGAUAAAAUAAGUUGGGAAGAGCUCCCUCUUUUACUGUCACCUGGA